CCUACGGGAGGCAGCAGUGAGGAAUAUUGGUCAAUGGACGAGAGUCUGAACCAGCCAAGUAGCGUGAAGGAUGCCUGCCCUAUGGGUUGUAAACUUCUUUUAUAAAGGAAUAAAACGAGGCACGUGUGCCUUUUUGCAUGUACUUUAUGACUAAGGAUCGGCUAACUCCGUGCCAGCAGCCGCGGUAAUACGGAGGAUCCGAGCGUUAUCCGGAUUUCGUGGGUUUAAAGGGCGCGUAGAUGGGUUGUUAAGUCAGUUGUGAAAGUUUGCGGCUCAACCGUAAAAUUGCAAUUGAUACUGGCAGUCUUGAGUACAGUUGAGGUAGGCGGAAUUCGUGGUGUAGCGGUGAAAUGCUUAGAUAUCACGAAGAACCCCGAUUGCGAAGGCAGCUUACUAAACUGUGACUGACAUUGAUGCUCGAAAGUGUGGGUAUCAAACAGGAGUAGAUACCCCGGUAGUC
rnacentral:rRNA from 1 species